rnacentral:rRNA from 1 species
AUUGAACGCUGGCGGCAGGCUUAACACAUGCAAGUCGAACGAGUGGCGGACGGGUGAGUAAUGCUUGGGAAUCUCGCUUAUGGAGGGGGAUAACUACGGGAAACUGUAGCUAAUACCGCGUACCAUAGGAUGAGCACAAGGGGGAUUAGGUAGUUGGUGGGGUAAAGGCUCACUUAGGCGACGAUCCCUAGCUGGGCUGAGAGGAUGAUCAGCCACACUGGUACUGAGACACGGCCCAGACUCCUAAGGGAGGCAGCAGUGGGGAAAAUUGCACAAUGGGCGCAAGCCUGAUGCAGCCAUGCCGCGUGUAUGAAGAAGGCCUUCGAGUUGUAAAGUACUUUCAGUCGGGAGGCGUUACCGAGAGAAGAAGCACCGGCUAACUCCGUGCCAGCAGCCGCGGUAAUUC